rnacentral:snoRNA from 1 species
UAGACAAAUGGUGAGAAUGUGCCAUGAACCAAAGAUUGUAAUUAAUUCAACUCUGUACACCUGAAUUUAUA